GGCGCCGCGCGCCCCAGAGAGCCUCGGAGCGGGGUGGCGCGAGCGGCGGCGGCGCGCGGGCCCCGGGCGACUCUGCGGCCGCCAUGUGGGGCUGCGGCGGGCGGAGGCGGCGCCGCCUGGGAGCGUUACUGCUCCUGCUGCUGCUGCUCGGGGGGCUGCUACUCCGCCGGUAUUACCCAGGCUUGCUGUUUGUUCCAGAGGCCUGUGAGAAUGCUGUGCUACAGAGGUUUAACUGGAGCAGUCUGGUCCCCCUGCAGCUGUGGGGCAGAACACUGGGCCUGCAGGCGGAGGAUUCUGAGUUCCGCCUUGAAGGCAUGCGCUUCCGCAUCUUCGGGGGCUCCAUGCACUAUUUCCGAGUCCCCAAGGAAUACUGGAGAGAUCGCAUGGUUAAGAUGAAGACAUGUGGCUUGAACACCCUCACCACGUACGUGCCGUGGAACCUUCACGAAGCAGCGAGUGGGAAGUUUGAUUUCACCGGAAACCUGGAUCUAGAGGCCUUCCUUACCUUGGCAGCUGAAGUUGGAUUGUGGGUGAUUCUGCGUCCGGGACCCUAUAUCUGCUCUGAAUGGGAACUUGGUGGUCUUCCCAGCUGGCUGCUCCAAGAUCCUGACAUGCAACUGAGAACAACCUACAAGGGCUUCACGGAGGCUGUGGAUGCCUAUUUUGAUCACUUGAUGGCCAGAGUGGUCCCUCUUCAGUACAAGAAAGGGGGCCCCAUCAUUGCGGUGCAGGUGGAGAAUGAAUAUGGUUCCUACGCCAAAGACCCUCAGUACCUGACCUACAUUAAAAUGGCCCUGUUAGACAGAGGGAUUGUGGAACUGUUAAUGACUUCUGACAACAAGGAUGGACUCGCCUCUGGCUCUGUAGAAGGAGCUUUGGCUACUGUUAACUUUCAGAAGGUGGAUUCCAGCUUCCUGGUCUAUCUCGACACAGUACAGCAAAAUAAGCCGAAGAUGGUGAUGGAGUAUUGGACUGGAUGGUUUGAUAGCUGGGGCGGCCCUCAUAAUGUCUUUGACGCAGAUGAUAUGGUGAAUUCUGUAGCAGAAGUCCUUAAAACAGGAGCAUCUAUCAACCUCUACAUGUUCCAUGGGGGCACCAACUUUGGCUUCAUGAAUGGUGCUCUGGAUUUUGAUGAGUACAAGCCAGAUGUCACAAGUUAUGACUACGACGCCGUGCUAACAGAGGCUGGAGACUACACGUCCAAGUUCUUCAGACUCCGUCAGCUCUUCACCAAGAUCAUAGGGCAGCCUCUGCCCCUCCCUCCUAUGAUCACAGGCAAAGCAUCAUAUGGCACAGUCCUGCUGCCGCAGUAUGUCUCUCUGUGGGAGGUGCUGCCAUCUAUUGUAGAGCCCGUUAAGUCAGAGUUCCCGGUUAACAUGGAGAACCUGCCAGUGAAUGAUGGCAACGGGCAGGCCUAUGGGUAUACGCUCUACGAGACGGUCAUAUCCGGCGGAGGACAGCUGCAUUCCAGGGACAACGUCCGGGACCGAGCACAGGUGUUUGUUAACACUGUGUUCGUUGGAUUCCUUGAUUACAACACGGUGGAGCUGUCAAUUCCUGAAGGACAGGGCUUCAGGCAGCUCAGGCUUUUGGUAGAGAACUGCGGGCGUGUCAAUUACGGACUUAUGCUGAAUGAGCAGCGGAAAGGCUUAAUUGGUGACGUCUUCCUGAAUAAAACCCCCUUGAGGAACUUCAAGAUUUACAGUCUGGAGAUGAAACCUGGCUUCAUGGAAAGCUUGCGAGGUGUUACUGCUUGGAGCACGAUCCCGGAUUACGCCGUGGGUCCUGCAUUCUUCCGAGGAAACCUGCAAGUGCAGUAUCUGCCUCAGGACACUUUCCUGAAACUCGAGGGUUGGGAAAAAGGAGUUGUGUUUGUCAAUGGAGAGAACCUAGGACGCUACUGGAAAAUCGGACCCCAGGAAACGCUCUACCUCCCUGCAACUUGGCUGCAGCCUGGGAACAAUGAGAUUAUCGUUUUUGAAGAGCGCACCGCAGGCCGGAUCAUACAAUCUGUAGAUAUGCCUUAUCUAGGAAGGACCCACUAUAUGGACUGAGCAGGAGAACUGCCUCCCGUUGGGUUCAUCUUGGAUAUUCCUUGGUGUAUGUGUGGGGACGCAUCAGUCCACGUACAGACUGGUUUGUUAAUUUCCGUUAGACCAGUGUAAAGGAUUUGCUCCCUGGCAACAAGUUUAGGAGAUAGACUUGGAGCACCCUGAGAGGUACAGGAGGGUGGUUUAAAUACCCUCAAACUCCCAUGCUGUAGCUGUCAGUGUAGAAUUGGCUGUGUCCAAGAGCUGCUCAUCUCUCCUGCAACCAACAUGUCCUCUGACCUAGAGAAGUCAGGUCAGUACUUAGGGGAGCAGUAAGACCUCACUACCAUAACCACCUGGCAAGGGCAAUAAAUCAAUUUCAAGGGAAUUUUAACCAUUAAAAAACAUAUUUAAUUUUAUUUAACAAAUUAAAUACAGUUUAAUUAAAACUGAGAACAGACAGUGCAGCUGUAAUACACUCCAUCCUCCGUCCCAAUCAAUGCCUGUCUCGCCGCAGCAUCCGUACCUCAGCUCUCCUGGCAAUCGCCACCACACCAGCUGGAAAGGCCUGGCUCCUGCAGCUGACUUUGAGGAGAGUGGAGCAUAUUUGUAUUUGCAGGGUUGUCUGUAGGACUUAGUCCUUUGCAUUUCACGAGGAGUUGUUCCCUACAGCGAAUGGAAGGCUGCAAUCCAGCAGGGUUAUUAGAAUAAACAGACAGACAUGCAGCUAGGACAUCAGUUGAAAACAACUUGAAUAUCAUGAAAACUUCGUAUCCCUUUUGAAAACACCUCUUUGUUCAUAGAUUGAGGGCUGCACUUGGGAGACUUUUAUAUAAUAGUGGAAUAAACCUGCUUUGAUGCAGAGCACCAUUGUU